UAUGGCUCAGGAUGAACGCUGGCGGCGUGCCUAAUACAUGCAAGUCGAACGAGAGAGCUUGCUCUCUAGUGGCGAGCGGGUGAGUAACACGUAGGUAACCUGCCUUACAGUUGGGAUACCCUGGCGAAAGCUAGGCUAAUACCGAAUAAUUGGAUUGGAGGCAUCUCCGAUCUCUAAAAGGGGCCUUUAAAGCCUCGCUGAAUGAUGGACCUGCGGCGCAUUAGCUAGUUGGUGAGAUAACAGCCCACCAAGGCGAGGAUGCGUAGCCGACCUGAGAGGGUGAACGGCCACACUGGAACUGAGACACGGUCCAGACUCCUACGGGAGGCAGCAGUAGGGAGUUUUCGGCAAUGGGGGCAACCCUGACCGAGCAACGCCGCGUGAAUGAAUGAAGGUCUUCGGAUUGUAAAGUUCUGUUAUAAGGGAAAAAUGAUAGGGUGAGGAAAUGCUCUCUAUUUGAUGGUACCUUAUUAGAAAGCCACGGCUAACUACGUGCCAGCCGCGGC
rnacentral:rRNA from 1 species